rnacentral:rRNA from 1 species
CCUGUUUUUCAAAAACAUCGCUCCCUGUCUUUAAAGUAAAUAGGGAGUCGGACCUGCCCGGUGAAUUUUCAACGGCCGCGGUACUCUGACCGUGCAAAGGUAGCAUAAUAAUUUGCCUUAUAAUUGAAGGCUGGCAUGAAUGGUUUGACGAGAGUAAAGCUGUCUCUUUAUAAUUUAUUAGAAAUUUAUUUUCGAAUGAAAAAGUUCGAGUAUAAUUAAAAGACAAGAAGACCCUAUCGAGCUUUAAAUAGUUUAGUAGAUCAAAAACUAAUUAUAACUAGAAAGUUAUCUACUAAAAAUUUUAGUUGGGGCGACUGAGGAACAAAUAAAGCUUCCUUACCAUAAUUUUAAACCUAUAGGUAUUGAUCCAAGUUACAUUCUGAUUAAUAGAAUUAGUUACCGUAGGGAUAACAGCAUUAUCUUUUUUGAGAGCUCUUAUCGAAAAAAAGGUUUGUGACCUCGAUGUUGGACCAGAAUGUCCUAAAGAUGCAGCAGUCUUUAAGGGUUGGUCUGUUCGACCAUUAAUAUUCUACGUGAUCUGAGUCCA